rnacentral:rRNA from 1 species
CCUACGGGAGGCUGCAGUGGGGGAUAUUGCACAAUGGGGGGAACCCUGAUGCAGCGAAGCCGCGUGGGUGAAGGAGCGUUUCGGCGCGUAAAGCCCUAUCGGCAGGGGAGAAGAUGACGGCACCUGACCAAGAAGCCACGGCUACCGACGUGCCAGCAGCCGCCGUAAUCCGUAGGGGUGAAGCGUUAUUCGGGUUUACGGGGUUUAAAGGGGGCGCAGACGGCAAUGCAAGCCAGGAGGGAAAGCCCUGGGGCCAACCCCGAGACCGCUCUUGAUACUGUAGGGCUAGAGUACAGGAGAGGCAGGCGGAAUUCCUAGUGUAGCGGUGAAAUGCGUAGAUAUUAGGAGGAACACCGGUGGCGAAGGCAGCCUGCUGGACUGUGACUGACGUUGAUGCCCGAAGGCGUGGGUAGCAAACAGGAUUAGAUACCCCUGUAGUC